UACGGAGGGUGCGGGCGUUGUCCGGAAUCACUGGGCGUAAAGGGCGCGUAGGUGGCUUCUCAAGCGCGCGGUGAAAGCCCGGGGCUCAACCCCGGGUCGGCCGUGCGGACUGGGAGGCUCGAGCACUGUAGGGGCGGGUGGAAUUCCGGGUGUAGCGGUGGAAUGCGUAGAGAUCCGGAAGAACACCGGUGGCGAAGGCGGGUCUCUGGGCAGUAACUGACGCUGAGGAGCGAAAGCGUGGGGAGCGAACAGG
rnacentral:rRNA from 1 species